GACAGGGUCAGGACAGCUGGAAGUGUGAAAUGAAUGCAGCCCUGCAUAGCUGUCAAAGGAUCAAGCUGUCUGCAGCGGCCGACUGACCAUGCACACACACACUCGGCAGCACCCGGCUAGGCAUUACCUACUUCACCACCGAUGUAGAAGUCAGUGUUUGUCGGGUGAACGACAGCAUCACUGUCGAUCGAGGCAAUGUCAGCCUGUACAACUUGCAACUAUAACAGAUGCUUCUGGUGUUAUAUUCAGAAAUGUUUCAUUGGAAAAGAAGCUAUUUUGGCGGGCUCUGCUUCAGCUAGCCAGGAAGACCCCCUCAGUGGCCUGUAUCUGACUCUCUUCGCGGGAGAACCACCUGCUCUGUCUAGGGGAAUGGGAUUCUCUGGGGGAAACUUGGAUUUGCUGAAGGAAGGGAGCAGUUGCGAACAGAACUCAAGCUCAUGGAGAAUUCUCAGCUUCCUUUGGACUCACUACCUUCCCUUCUGACCAGAGGCAUCCCCACUCUUGGAAGUGCAGACUACAGUACCUCAGGGAGCCACUACUACUCAGCAUUGAGGAUUUCCUGCCAACCAAGUGCUGUUUCACUCUUCACAUCUGUGGAUGAGGCUAGAGCUGUGAUUUUCCAACUAUGCUCUGCUAUGCACUGGGGCUCAGCAGAAGUCCUCAGGGUAUGCAGCUGAGCCACAAAAGUUUUUUUGCUGUAAAAUGUGUACAAAUAUGUAUUUUUAAACAAUCUUGACUAGAAA
ensembl:lncRNA PITX1-AS1 PITX1 antisense RNA 1